rnacentral:rRNA from 1 species
UACGAAGGGUGCAAACGUUGCUCGGAAUUAUUGGGCGUAAAGCGCGCGUAGACGGCUUGGCAAGUCGGAUGUGAAAUCCCUCGGCUCAACCAAGGAAAUGCAUCCGAAACUGCUGAGCUUGAGUACUUAAGAGGAUCGCGGAAUUCCCAAUAUAAAAAUGAAAUUCGUAGAUAUCGGGAGGAACACCAAUGACGAAGGCAACGAUCUGGGAAGAUACUGACGCUGAGAUGCGAAAACGUGGGGAGCAAACAGG